rnacentral:lncRNA from 1 species
AACAAUCGCGGUAUCGUGAAAAUACAAGCGGCUCUUCCUCCUUUCCUUCUCCCGCUCUUGAGACGAUCCCAUGUGCGUGGGCAAAAAAAAAUGCGACCUGCUUGGCGUCUCGUAGCAGUCAAGGGAACGAACUGGGCACCGAAACGUGCGAGUUAUUCGUUUGUUAUAUCGCGCGUUGAAGAAGAUUCACACUUUUAUAUACAAUUUUUGUUAGUGAUUCUCUCUUUCGUGGAGGAGCUCCUUACUCUUUCUCUCAGUGUUUCCCCCAUUGGCCAAGGUGUCACUCGUUAUAUUUCGAGCACAUUCUAAGUUUAGAUCCCUACACGAGAGCCCUCCAAUCUCUCCAACUUCUCUAGACUCUGAAGCACAACGCGGUUACGGAUGUGUGUAUAUAUACACACACGGAAAGCUCUCCGAAAGAGAGGGACGGAGACGAAGAGGUAUUCGUAUAGUUUGCUUGCAUAAACGUAAAGAGCCCUCAUUUCCCUUUUACGAGAACAAAAUCCAGGCUUCCCCAUCGAGAUUUGUUUUUUUGCGUGUGUAAUGCGCGAUAACCUUUCUUUCGACCUCCCCUUCCCGCUUCCCGCCCUCCCUCCCCCCCUCCCACCUCUAAGCACGAGUGUUGCGUUCAUACGGAAAACAGGAGGUUCGUUCCGCUAUUUUUUUCGUUUCCUUUGCGAGCAACUGAGGAGGCAGAAGAAACUCUGGAGGGUAUUCGCACUGUGCGCCAAUUAAAUAGCGCCACUUACGGUCGAUCCCGGAAACUACAGAAAUAAAACUCGAGUUUAAAAAAGUUUAUCUCCGAUUUAAUAACCUUGACGAAUAGCGAAUUAGUAAUUAAAUUCAUUUCUGAUUCAACGAAGCAGGCUUCGACACAUCGUUUUUUACAAUAUUUCGUUUUUGGAUCUCGGCCUUUUUUCAACUCAUGUUAACGUGUUUAAAAUCAGAUCAAAAUCGUUUCCUGGCGACAGUAAAUCUUCACACUCGUAACAAUAUUUUUAUCUACCAACCGCAAUUCCGGGCUGCAAGAAAAACGACAUUUUACGGGGUAGCAGGAGGAAGCAUUACUACGAUUAACAAGUCUCGUUUUGAUCCACGAAGGAAUUGUCUCCAAAACUACCGCCCAUGCGUGGGUCUUCGUAACACGAA